rnacentral:rRNA from 1 species
AUGGCUUACUUGCCGUUUACUCAUACUCAUUGUUGCAUGGUGAACUACGAGAAGAUGAUUAUCUUGUGUAGAUCAUGCCAAGUGGGAAAUGUUGCACACAUUUUAAUGAUGUGGAUCAUUAGCACUUUGUGUCUUAUAUUCUUCAGAAACAUAAAAGAAUAUGUAGUAUUGACGCAACUCAUAAUUGUCAAUGUUAUGUUGAAUGGAGAGUGGUCACUUGCUAUUGGUACUUUUCUCUCUUUGAAAUGCACACUGAUAUUACAACAUGGAAAAAAUGCAAUUGUAAUGAAGAUACCUUUUUGA